UCUCUACUAACUUGAAGUUUCUGCAAUAAAUUAUAGAUAUAAAUUGAACUUUCGAUAUCCAAUAUCCAGGUAGUAGUAUCAUAGAUAGAGAAAUUAUAAGAUAAAACCUAUACCUACACCCUUUAUGUUUAGUUUAAUCCUACAGUUUAACCCAAAUAGUUAGGUAGUCAGUUAAUCCAAAUUGGGACUCAAGUGCCAUGUAAUAAUUUUUUUUGAAAUGGCUGAAAUGGUCCUUAAUAAAGGAUAAGCAAAAUAAAAACCCUCCUCUCCUCCGGUCUUCUCUACCUCCAUUGUUCUCUUACUCUGGUGUAGUUCUCAUUGCAGAAUUUUCUGUGCACCAAAGACGUCAUCUCGAGCUGCCUUGCAGGUUCAUCUCUCCCAUUGAAAAUCGGCUUUGCCUUGUUACUGACUUGUCAUCUCUAUCGGAACUACCAAGUCCACCCCCAACAGGAUUGCUCCCUCGACUCCGCCUUCUCCGACAUUCUUGAGAUGCACUUCUAUGACAGCUGCCUCUACCUCAAGUUCACCUACUUCACCGCCAACCAAGCCAUUCUUAAGGCCUUCACCAGCUAUCGUUGCAUCUACAUCAUUGACUUCAAUAUGAAGCAAGGAAUGCAAUAGUCGGCACUAAAGCAAGCCCUUUCCCUUUGCCCAUGUAGCCCACCAUCGCUCUGGUUAACUGGCAUUGGCCCUCCCCAGACCAACAACACCGAUAACCUCCAAUAGGUCGGUUGGAGGCUUGCCUAGCUUGUGGAUGCCAUCCAUAUCAAUUUUUAGUAUCGUGGCUAUGUCUCCAUCAACCUCAUUGACCUCGAAACUUGCAUGUUCGAGACAGAGGCUAGUGAUAAUGGCAACAGCAAUGCUGGUGUUGAUGAGGAGCCGGAAGUGGUGGCGGUGAACUUAGUGCUCGAGCUCCACCAGCUUCUUGCUCGACCAGGGGCAUUGGAGAAGGUUCUAGGCACGAUCCGGGCAGUUCGGCCGAGGUUUGUUAUGGUGGACGAGUAGGAGGUGAACUAUAAUGCUGGCUCAUUCUUGGAGUGGUUCAUAGAGGCAUUGCACUAGUACUCGACCAUGUUCAACUCUUUGGAGGGUGGUGGCACCAUUGCCGCAGGAGAAAUUAUUAGGCAGUAGAGGCGGCCAUUGGCACCAGCAUAGGAUAGAAAGAUUUGAUGAUGUCGAAAGUGUAUCUUGAUCGUAAGAUCUACAACAUGGUGCCCUGUGAGGGCAUAAAGCGGACAAAGUGGUAUGAGACAUUGGGCCAGUGGCAUGGAUGAAUGACCUGGGCUGUGUUUGAGCCGAUCCACCUUGGCUCCAAUGCGUUCGAGCAAUUCAGCAUACUCCUCGCCCUCUUUCUGGGCGGCAAUGGCUAUCGCACCGAAGAAAAAGAGGGAUGUUUCACCCUCAGGUGGCACACGUGCCCGCUAAUUGCCACCUCUGCCUGACAUGUCACUGGCACCAGCAACACCCUCUCCAUCACUGUCGCCUACUGACUUAUUGAUUGUCUCGACCAAAAGGCAGCAAGCUUAGCCAUCUAAUGAUACUGUUUCACUCUCUCUCUCUAUCUCUCUAUUUUUCAUUGACCCCAGGUGGGUCCAUAGGUCUAGGGUGAUUGAUGGUGCUGUAGAACCUAGAGGGAUGAAGCUCCCCAUCAGCUCCCAUGGUAAGAACUCUCUUGGAGACUUGGGUCACUAUGUUCUUGACAGCACUCUUCAGAUUCUCCUCUAGAUGCCUUAGAUCGAUGGCUUGGCAGAGUUGGACCAAGUAGGUGGAAGACAUGAGCUUCUGGAUCUCUAUAGCCUCCGUCGUCUUCCUCACCGAGAUCAAUCCCAAGGAGUUGACAUUUUGGUUGUGCUGCUCGGCACUUUGGAUGUGGUUCAUGAUGGGGUUCUUGAGGAAUUAGAGCUCCAAGUAGUAGGCCGCCAUCACUAUCUCGGCACCUUUGAAUCCAAAAUCUAGGCUUGGGUUCCAUCCAUUGGAGAGAAUGGAAGGCAGCCCAUUGCUGUAGAAGUCAAUCACAAGCUCAGAGAACUACACAAAUGUGAGCUUCCCAAUGGUGGCGAUCGCCAACCUAGUGUUGUCCAUGGAAACACCUACGGGUGUCUCCCGAAAGUUGCCACCGUGGAGAGCCUUGCUUUUAGAGACAUUGAUCAGUGGGUUGUCAUUCAUCCAUCAAUCAGUGGGUUCUCGUUCACCAAAUUGAUCUCCCUCUCUCUCUAUCGCUCAAGGCUCGCCGGGACCCCAUCCCUUACAUCCCACCUCUCUAGAUUCUUUUAACUGAUUUAUGAUGGAUGGCAAUUUGGUCAUUUCAUAUUUUUUAUUAACACCGUUAUAUUUCAAAGGUGUAGAUGUAGGUUUUGGAAACUAAUACAUGUAAUUAUAAUAAUGCAAAUCUCAGGGAGAUUUUGUAAUUUAUCUCAAUAUAAUUUUAGUAGGCAAAAAUUUGAAUUCAAAUUAGAACUAAACUCAAAUAUGACUCAAUUAAUAUUUGAGUUGAGUCGAUAUUCAAUAUUAUUUAUCGAGCUGAAUUUGAGUUUAGAAUAUUAAAACAUAAUGGAUCUUGAAUCAAUUUUUUUUUGUAUAUGCGGGCUGUCACACUACUCUAGUAUGAGAGCAGUCCAAAAAGUCAAAGUACAAAAGAUCCCACAAGGCUAGUAGGCAAAUCUCGCCCUAUAUCCAGAUCUAAUCUUCAAAGUGCUCCACCAUAUAAGAAGCAUCUCAAUCUGCCACACUAUAGUCUCUCGAUAAACAAGCCAGACUGACAUCAUAACUGAAAGAUGAAUAGCAGUCUAGUUGUCGUAAAGAAGUGGAUGGGUCUUCAGCUUCUUCGCGUUAUCCCAGAUCCAAUCAAUAAUGAUGGUAGAAUCAUCCUCAAUAAAAAUUCUCUCCAUCCGUAGCUCCUGUCUGGCAUAGAUACUGCUCAUCCAAGCGGCAUGAAGAUCUGUUCUCGAGAUAGAAGGCUCAAAAAGAUAAGAGCCUCCUACCGCCAGUAACCUAGCAUCUGAGUCUCAGAUGACAAAGUCGCAUUAUCCCUACCAUCCCUGACUUUGCCAUCAAAAUUUACCUUGACAAAUCCUGAAGAAGGGGGCUUCCAGAACAUAAAAAUAACCCUUUGGAUCUCUCAAGAAUCGAGGGUGUCAAGUAGUGGGCCAGCAGUCUCGAAAUGGCUAUACUCUGCAGUGAAGCAAAUGACUCUCUACAGCACCCGUUAUGCAGGCACCACCUCGCCUUUAAAGAUCAAGUUAUUCUUGGAAAGCCAGAUCUGGUAGGUGACAUAAGCUAUCCUGCCUCCUAGGUAGAGAUCAUCCCCUUAGUUAUACUCUGAUGGAUCGCACUUAGGAAGGACUCCAGCCAAAGGCCAUUAUUCACCUCCCAAGGUUGCCCACCCAUCCUCCUCCAAAUCAGCCUCGUCCUCAGAUAAUGUGGAAUGGCGUGCUUUGUCGUCUCGUCCUCCAUCCUAUAGAUUGGAUAAGAAACUGAAAGUUCAUGCCUCUGUUUCCAAGAAGUAUGCACGUUAGAAGCCGGUUCCAUGCAAGCUUCUAGAGAAAGAGCCUCACUUUGUAGUGGGCAAUCGCUCUCCAAAUCUAAGCAGCCUCGAUCCUUCUGCCCAUCAUCGGCCUAUACAUCUCAGACAGAUCCCUUAUGGAAAUCUUAGGGCAACACGAGCGGCCCCAUACCCUCAAAUUUUGGCUGUGAUGAACUAAAAUUGGAGUGACGAGGAUCCAAUCAGCAAGCGGACCAUCAAAAAAAUCAGAUGAUAUCCUAAGCUCUCCAACCUCUACCAUCAACAGUGAGCAAGUCGCAGACCCACAGAUGGUCAUCCACCACACUGUUGAUGUAGGUUAGCUAGUGGAAAAGAGUCAGGUUGGAAAUCCAGGCCUUCUGGAUCAUAUCCAUCGAAAUCUCAUAUCCAAUGAACCAUUUGAUCUAGACCAGUACUGCUGGCUUGCGAGCAUAAAUCUCCUUCCAAAUGAAGGAGCAACUGUGGUAGCCUAGAUUUGGGAUCCCUGACUCCAUGCCCCAUCCCAUGGCCUCAUCAUCCUGCUCCAUAGCCGACUAGAUAAGAAAUCUAGUAGAAUGCUUAGCGAUCAUGGCCUCUCUCCUAACCUACAAAGACUGAAUCUCAAGGCCUUCGUCCCUCACAGGCUGGCAGACUACCUCCCAAGAUAGCAAGUAGAUCCCCCGGCUGUCAGGCCCUGAGCCCAACAGGAAGUUUCAAAACCACUGCUCCAACCAUCUAAGAUAGAAGCUCAGUAUAAUCAUGUUCACUGAGAGCUACACUAAGAUGGAGCUCAGCAUCGAUCUCACAAGAGUUGUCUUGUCCGUUAUGGAGAGGGCGUUGAAUUGCCAACCCUUAAGGCAAUCUUGGUACCACUGCUCCAUGGGCCUGCAGUUGGCCCUCUGAAGAUGUCACCCCAUGAUGGGAACUUUCAGAUAGGUCAAGGCCCCAAUCUACUCCUGGAUCUCCAACCUUUCUCGAAUCGUUUGCUUCAUCUUGGGGCUGAAGAUGACUGCGGACUUCUGUAGAUUCACAAGCUGGCUAGAGGUCCGACAAUAAGCCUCAAUAAUGGAUGCAAAGCACUUCAUGUUCUAGACCAAGACCCGACCAAUGAAGAGACAGUCAUCUACAAAAAAAGGUACAAAAGCAGCUGAGCAUCAGAGGUGGGCCGUUAGGGCUAUAGCUCCGACUCCUGAACCGUCGCCCUCAACGUCCAAGACAGAGCAUCAACAUACAAAAUAAACAACUAAGGUGAGAGAGGACAAUCUUGUUGAAGCUUGACUGCCGAGUGAAAGAACUCCGUUGAAACACCAUUAAUUAGAAUAGCAAAACUCAGGGUCUCCAUAUAGUCCAUGAUCCAAUUGGUCUACCUCUUUUGGAAGCCGAGCUCCCGUAAUGUCCGUCGAAGAAAGUGCCAAUUCAUCCGGUCAUAUAUUCAUUCCAUGUCCAACUUGAUCGCUCUAAGGCUUUAGCGAGCUGGUGCUCGUUGAAGAUCAUGUAUAAACUCCCGGACAAGCAAGAUAUUACUGGUGAUGCAGCGAUCGCCAACAAAAGUAUCUUGUUCUGGACUGAUCAAGUGAGGCACAAUCAGCUUCAGCCAUCCAACCAAGAUCCUGACACAUACCUUAUAGAGAGUAAUAUAGAGACUAAUUGGUCUGAAGUGCCCCAGAGUGGAUACAUUAGGAUGCUUUGAGAUGAGGAUGAUUAGCGUCUUCUUUUACUUCUCCAAAAGGCCUUUGAACUCAAAAACCAUCUGCACUACCUCCCCUCUAAUAAUAGGCCAAUGUUAAUGGAAGAAGAGAGGGAAAACUCGUCCGACCUCAGAGCCUCAUCCUCUUCGAGAGAUUAGACAGCCCCGUGCACUUUCUUGAUAGACAUCGAUUGAGUCAGGGUUUCAUUUUUCUGAUCAAAGAUACAUGUCACAAGCUGGGCCUCCUAAAAGGCAGUGUCCUCGCUUAACAGCAUCAUCCAACGGAACUUGACGAAUUGGAAGAUCUGUCUCUUGAUCUCUUUACCAUCAUCCACAAUUUUAUCAACGCUCUUCUUCAGCUGUCUGAUGUAUUUGGCAGACCUCAAGAGUAUAUUAGAUUAGUGAAAGAAUCUGAUAUUUCGAUCAUCUUUUUUGAUCCACUGAAUUCUAGAUUUCUGCCUUCAAAGCAUCUUUUGCCGUCUCAACAAGAAAUAGUGCAUCGAGAGCAUACGAUGAAGUUCGCUUAACUUAGGCUUCCAGAGUUCCUCUUGACCCUUUCUCAAUUGUAGCUCUGCUAUGUGCAUCUCUAUCCCUUGAUCCAGCUGAAGAUAUCAUCAAUCUCAAGCCGAUUUUAUGGAAAGACAUUUUGGGUCGAAUUGAGGUUGAGCUUCUCGCUCGGCACGAGUGCACAAUCACACCUCCCGGAGGAAUAAAAUUUUAAAACAAUCUCCACCCUUGUGAACGGUGAGAUAAGGGGAAGCCUCCGAUUGCGUCCGAAUCCAAGGCUUUUUUCCCCACGUCCCGCAACUGGCGCCACGUUCGCCCCAAGUACAAAAUCCCCUCUCCUUCUCUCUUCCUUUCUCCUUCUUCCAAAAGCCCUAGACCUCUCCCAAGCGUGGGAGAUCAGAGGGGCUACUUUGAUUUAUUCUGGCCUUGUCUUGGAUCGCUUGAAGCGAUGGAGAUGCCGCAGGACGAUUUGGAUCGGCUUGUCUUUUUCGAGCAUGCUCGCAAUUCCGCCGAGGCCGCCUACGCCAAAAACCCCCUCGAUGCCGACGUGAGCUCUCGCCUCCCUCUUUCCGUUUCCAUAUUUUUUUUCGUUUUUUUGGGGAAUAGAUCCCUCGGUGUUAUUUUAUUUUAUUUUAUUUUUUUUGUGGAAUAGAUCCUUCGGCUAUGUCGGCGAUGUGAGAACUACUACUGGAUAGAUUAAGCCCCAAUAGAUUUCGUUAUUCUUUUUUUCCCGUUUGUUUUGGUAUUUCUAGGUGGUUAUUUGGUCUUGAAACUAUAAUCUGGGAAUACUCGGAUGACAUAAUUUUUGCUUUUCUUUUCUUGUUCCCCUUUUUUUUGAAGAAUCUAACACGGUGGGGAGGCGCGCUUCUCGAGCUAUCACAAUUUCAAACUGGAGAUGACUGUAUAAAAAUGGUAAAAGGUACUGUGUUAUUUUCUUAUAAAUCUUCUGGGUGUGUGUGGAAAUUUUAUUGUUAGGAUGCAAAUAUCUAUUUAUUUGAUGCACCGGAGCUUCAUCUUGUUAAUGUGGAGGUAGCACAAUCUAUUUGUUUCUCUUUGUAGUUUUUAAUUUUUUAUUUAUUGUUGUUGUUGUUGUUGUUAUUAUUAUUAUUAUUUGUGUAUAAAUCUUAUAGAUGGUGUAUCGAGACUGGAGGAAGCCUUGGAGGUUAAUCCAAGAAAGCAUGAGACACUCUGGUGCUUAGGAAAUGCCCACACUUCUCAUGCAUUCUACACUCCUGAUCACGAGCAAGCAAAGGUUUAUUUUGAAAAGGCGAAGAAAUGUUUCGAGCAGGCAGUGGAGGAGGUAUUUGAGUUGAAUUGAUAAUUGUAAAAAACUUUCUAAUUGUUAUCUGUUAUUUGGAGGAAAUGAUGUUUGGGUUUCUUGUAGGAUCCUGAAAAUGAGCUAUAUCUCAAGUCUUUGGAUUUAUCUGCAAAGGUAUGUUGUGUCCGUUUAUGUAUGGCCAACUCCAUUUUAUUAUGCACAUGUCAGUUGGUUUUUGGAGGAUCAUAUUUUGGCUGCUAGUUGCUGCUUCUAUUUUGUUGGCCAUGUUUAAGACACUAACAUCAGAAGUUUUGCUAUUAUUGAAAGAUUAUUUAUUUUAUGUUUCUGUGGUUCUAAUAGCAUGGACAUUUAUUCCUAUGCAUUAGCAAAAGGAAUAGUUUUGAAUGCAUUUGUUAGAGAUUCUGGCUUAAAUUACUUUUAUCAGUUUAUCCUGGAAGAUGAGGUGUAAUCGCUGAAUAUUUAAAGGGUAAACCAAGCAUUGCAAUAAAGAAAUACACUAAAAUCAGAUUUUAUGCCAAUAAUUUUUUGAAAGUGGAAAAUAAUCAUGAAAAUGCAAGAACCUAGAUGAUGAAUGGUUGAUUAGUCAUCCCAGAAAAUUGUCUUUAAUUCCAACUUUUCUUGAUGUCUCCCUUUUAGGAUUGGGCAUAUUUAGCCUUGGCCUGCCAGGCUGGUUUUGUGCCAUCCUGGGUAGAUGAUUCAGGUUGGAAAGGCCAAGCCAGACCCAGCUUUUUAAAGUCUGUCGGGGAUUCAAUCAGGCUCGGAUUUGAUCAAAAUAAGCCAUUCUGACCUGACAGGAUGCACAAUGUUGUUAUAUAAUAUAUUCUAAGUCAUAUUUUUUGUAAUUGUGGUUCUAAACCCUGACUUCUAUUCCACUCCCACUCCUAAAUUAGCUGAAACCCUCUAUGUUUACUUUCCUUUUCCUUUCUCCACCUCCUUCAUUCCAUCCGGCAUCAACAAGCACUGACUCGCCAAGUCAUUGACCCUUUGAUUGCUGUUCAACGGUGCCCUAACCUUCUUCCCCCUUUCUCUACUUCUCCACACUUCCUUAGCUGUCCUCUUACUUCUGUAUUCUGCUAAUUCUGUAUGAUCCAAGAUGGAGCGAGGGUUAAGUUUUGAGGAGUCUUCAGCAUGAUAUUCAUCAUACUGGGGAAUCUUAGAGAGAGGAGAGAGCUGAAACUAUGAUUUGGCACAGGAUUGAUGGGCUUGGACAGAUCGAGGUGGAAUAGGAGGGCAAGAU
rnacentral:lncRNA from 1 species